rnacentral:rRNA from 1 species
AUCCUGGCUCAGGAUGAACGCUGGCGACAGGCCUAACACAUGCAAGUCGAGGGGCAGCAUGAAAUUAGCUUGCUAAUUUUGAUGGCGACCGGCGCACGGGUGAGUAACACGUAUGCAACCUGCCCGCCACAGGGGGGAUAAACGCUGGAAACGGCGCCUAAUACCCCCAUACUAUCGCUAUGCUGCAUGGCAUGGCGAUGAAAACUCCGGUGGUGGCGGAUGGGCAUGCGGCGCAUUAGCUGGUUGGGGGGGUAACGGCCCACCAAGGCGACGAUGCGUAGGGGUUCUGAGAGGAAGGUCCCCCACACUGGUACUGAGGCACGGACCAGACUCCUACGGGAGGCAGCAGUGAGGAAUAUUGGUCAAUGGGCGGGAGCCUGAACCAGCCAAGUCGCGUGAGGGAAGACGGCCCUACGGGUUGUAAACCUCUUUAGUCGGGGAGCAAAAAGGACCACGCGUGGUCCAUUGAGCGUACCCGAAGAAUAAGCAUCGGCUAACUCCGUG